GAUGAAGAACGUAGCGAAAUGCGAUACGUAAUGUGAAUUGCAAAUUCAGUGAAUCAUCGAGUCUUUGAACGCACAUUGCGCCCCCUGGUAUUCCGGGGGGCAUGCCUGUCCGAGCGUCAUUACUGCCCUCAAGCCCGGCUUGUGUGUUGGGCCCCGUCCUCCGAUCCCGGGGGACGGGCCCGAAAGGCAGCGGCGGCACCGCGUCCGGUCCUCGAGCGUAUGGGGCUUUGUCACCCGCUCUGUAGGCCCGGCCGGCGCUUGCCGAUCAACCCCAAUUUUUAUAGGUUGACCUCGGAUCAGGUAGGGAUACCCGCUGAACUUAAGCAUAUCAUAAGCGGAGGA
rnacentral:misc_RNA from 1 species